rnacentral:lncRNA from 1 species
UGAAACACCCCAGAAAAGUGUUUGUCUCCUGAACGUGUGUGAAGGAAUGGACCAGGAGAGGGGAUGCAACAGAAGGUCUCGAGCAGCAAUCCCCCUUUGAAGAGCUAUCUGCUAUUUAGAGGGAAGACUUGAGAGAGAGGGAGGGACCUCAUACAGAAUCCCCCCUGCAUCGCUCAGGAAAAUAGACUCAUAGAAAUUCAUAAUCAGCUUUGACUUGGAAAAAAACUAUGAAAAUAAUCAUCUUGCCUCUUGGCUUUCAGCAAUAUCUUCUGCCCUGGAUAUUUGCUCCCCUCCCCAGCUGGAAGAAUAUCCCACUGCUCAGUGACAAUUUGUACGUGUACAAAUCAUUGACCAAAUACCAAGUCAGGUGUACUUGGCCACUCUUUAAGAAACAAAAUGCCUGGGACUGUCAGAUAAGAAGUCCACAUGGCAGCUUUCCAAUUGUAUUUAUCCACUCCAACUAA